CUCCGAGCUAUGAAGCUGACCUCAGUGCGUCUGCUGGCAGAGCUCAAGUUAAUCCCGAAGCCAUCAGCUGUCCCGGAGCUGAGUCACGAGGGCGGUUGGCAGGGCUCCUCGGGGGUGAUCUGGCCCCCACGUGCUUUCGCCUGCGCCCCCAUCGGUGCCAGGAGCUUAGCCCGUCACUGCAGCCCCCAGAAAUACCCAGAGAGCGCACAUCCUUGCAGAAUGACAAGCCCCGCUGGCCCCAGCCCCGAAUUCCUCACCGCUUAUGGUCCCAGCCAGCAGCCAGCUGUAAACAGCCCAACAAGGCGGCCCCACGGACCCAGGAGCUGCAGUAGCAAAGAACAUGUGUCUUUGUCCCAGUUGGAAUCUUCGCCCCAAAUCGCACUGGAGGCAUUGGGCCUCUGGGUGGCAACUCAGGGUGCAAACCCCAGGCUCUGGGGCGCCGGAUCCAGAGGCGAGUUCACGGUUGUCAGGCCCCUUUCACGUGCAGCUGCUGCCCCUGGGUGUUCUCAGGACACACCUGGAGCCCCACCUGGUAGACGGAGGACUGAGUCAGAGGGUCAAAGCACAGCCCCAGCCGCCUUCCUCCUGGCCCCGGACAUUGGCCAUCCCUUCACCGCAUCCUGGGGCGUCUCCAAGCCCUGCCAAGUCCCCAGGGAGGCCUGGACAGUCACACUCAACCUCCUUCUCCUAAGGGUCUCCCCACUUCCACAUGGCAGACUCCUUCCUGAACCAAACUUCCGUCAGGCUUCCUGAGCCCUCUUCUCCUUGACCUUGAGCUGCCAAGCCCAGUUUUGGCUGAGAAGCCUGCUAAGCCACUUCAGGAAGGAUACUCACCCCUCACAGCCUUGUUCUCCGCCCCUUGGUAUCUGAGUCCUUAACCUUUAGGCACCACCCUUUUGGAACAAUUUAGCAAGAAUUCCCCUACCCUUGAGAUCUAAUAAGUUCCUCUUGGUAAUUUUCCGACCGCUGACCCCCUCACUUCGCUCCUUGGCUCUAAAUCCUCCCCAGCUAUGUGGAUCCUUGCUGGAUCCACAAAUUGAGCUCACUCUCACUCUCCUAUCCCAGCAACCUUGGAUAAAGGCUUCCUUGCCAUUUUUAGCCAGCGCCCAGUGCAAUUUUUC
rnacentral:lncRNA from 1 species